UACGUAGGGGGCAAGCGUUAUCCGGAUUUACUGGGUGUAAAGGGAGCGCAGAGUCUGAAGUGAAAUCCCGAGGCUUAACCACGGGACUGCUUUGGAAACUGUGCGACUUGAGUAUCGGAGGGGCAGGCGGAAUUCCUAGUGUAGCGGUGAAAUGCGUAGAUAUUAGGAAGAACACCGGUGGCGAAGGCGGCCUGCUGGACGAAAACUGACGUUGAGGCUCGAAGGCGUGGGGAGCAAACAGG
rnacentral:rRNA from 1 species